GCGAAAGUGGCGGAACGGCAGACGCGCUGGAUUUAGGAUCCAGUGGGAUCAUUCCUGUAGGGGUUCGAAUCCCCUCUUUCGCACCA
rnacentral:tRNA from 1 species